UACGUAGGGUGCAAGCGUUGUCCGGAAUUAUUGGGCGUAAAGAGCUCGUAGGCGGUUUGUCGCGUCUGCUGUGAAAACCCGAGGCUCAACCUCGGGCCUGCAGUGGGUACGGGCAGACUAGAGUGCGGUAGGGGAGAUUGGAAUUCCUGGUGUAGCGGUGGAAUGCGCAGAUAUCAGGAAGAACACCGAUGGCGAAGGCAGUUCUCUGGGCCGUAACUGACGCUGAGGAGCGAAAGCGUGGGGAGCGAACAGG
rnacentral:rRNA from 1 species